AUGUGGGACAACACCCCCCUUCCUCCCGCCUGCCUGUUUUCUGGGUUGGGGGAGCGCCCAGGCGGGGCAAAGGGGAAAGGCACAUUUCCAAGUGUCCGCUCCCGAGGUGCGGGCCCUGGGUCCAGCCCGCAACGCCGCUCGGCUUCUCCACCCACACAGCGGCCGCCCCGCAGCGGGAAGCUUCUCCGCGUGACCAGGCGACCCGGCGCUGGACAUCUGCUUCUCCCCAACCUGGUGAGGCCGCGAUCGGCCCGGGAUCUCCGAUCCUAUCUCCUCCUGCCAGGCCCAGAAGACUGUCGGCAAACCGCCGCCCCCCCCGCCCCCGCCGCUUCGGGAGAACCGGCCCCCUGCCCUCCCCAGGCUCGCGGCACAAAGGCGGACCUCGGAGCACAUCAAGGGGAGACGCAGCUCCCGACCCGAUGCAAGUUCAGCUGCAGCUCGUGCAAAGCAGCCAGGCAAAGCUCAGCCUUAAAGGUAGAAUGUGAAGGCAAGACUCGACCGCCAGGAAGCCUCGAUUUGGGGGCAUUCUCCGAAGUCGGAGGCCAGAAUGGAUUUCGGAUGGAGAAGCAACCCAGAGGCGAGCUCCGUGAGACUAGGCCGAAGGCCGGCCCCAGCCUUUCCGCUACGGCGGAAAUCUCCUAUCCUGGGGCAAACCAACUCCUAGAAAGCACGAAGUCGAGCCAAGAGAAAGCCGGACGCUAGUCACAGGCCGGGCGCGGGCAGAGCCCCCGCCCCGGGAAUCCAGGCGGGGCUCGCAUCCGGGCCACC
rnacentral:lncRNA from 1 species